UAUGGCCAUAUCUCAUUGAAACAUUGGUUCCCUUCUGAUCACUGAAUUUAAGCAAUGUUAAGCCUAGUAGUACCUGGAUGGGUGACCACUUAGGAAUAUCAGGUAUUGUAUGC